UAAGCACUGUAAAUAGAGUCAAUCUGAAAAUACAUGAUUGCAUAGAGAUCCAUGGGGGACCAACUAUGGGAUCUAUUGCACAUCUCUGAUAGUGGAGAGGAACUGCAUGACACUUAUUUAUUGUCAGACAAUUUUCCACUAAAGUGACCCUGACGAAGAGUCUGCCACCCUCCCUUUGGAUACCGAAAGGCCGCUCUCAGAUCUCCCUGCACAGCCCCAGCUCUCUCAGCCUGCCUUUGUAAGAGAGGUGUUCCAUCACUGGAUCAUUUUGUGACCCUCCUCUGGACAUGUACAGGUCCAUGUCUCUCCUGUACUGACGCCACAUCUGGAUGCAGUACUCCAGGUUAAAAGCACCUGAUUAAUUCAAAUUCUGUGAAUAAAAGCACGGAGUCCCAUUUUGGAGGUUUCACAGGGAGUGGUGCCCAGACUACAGGAGCAAUCAAAAGGCUGUGAAACAAUGAAGUCUCCAUAGUUUCUGGCAAUACCAUGAGAUGUUUCAUGGCUCUGCUCUGCCAGGUAUGGCAUCUGUAUGUGGCAUAGAGGGUAAAGUCAGCCCAGCUGUGAAACAGGUGAUCCUGCUUACCUCAGUGGAUGCUCCUGAAGAGCAUCUGCAUCCUGUGGCUGUCUUUGGGCUUCAAGAGGACACUCCCCACGCAGACAUUUCCAAACUGCUUGACAAGGAGAAUA
ensembl:lncRNA